ensembl:lncRNA
GUCGGCCCUAAAAGCAGCCUGUGUUGUCUCUCUCCUCUCUGUCUUCUUUAUGCUGAUAUUUCAUUUCCAAGUACCUUCCUAAGCUGUCUGCUUUUAUCUGCUCCCGCUACUUACAGAGCCUCCCCAGUUUUCUCAGACUGUGCAUUCCUCAGUGUCUUGCUCCCACUCACUUCUGAGAUUAAUGCUGUGUAAUAUUCCAGAGCUAUCACAUUCUGUUACUGGGAGCUCAUCUUGUUCUUUCUGAAAAUCAAAUUUAAAUUAAGGAAAAAUUGAAAAGCCUGCAUAUGUAAGUUUCCUGACUAGGUCAGCAACAUGGCAGAGACUGCACUUGCUCAAAGCCUGAAGGAUGUUGGGAGGUGGAGUGAAGAGGCCAUCCCGCUUCUCAGACACGCCAUUGAUGAUGAGUGAUCAGCUCUAGAGACCACAUGUGAAGGUUUCUUGAGUAACACAGAGAAGUGGAGGAAAAUGGCAGAGCUCAUCCUAUGGCAGAGGUGGAAGAAGGAGCCCGGUGCCACGUGACCAGUGCCCUGGCUUGCAGAAGGAGUGUGAAACAAGUGAGUUAAGGUGGGAACGAGUACUUCUUUCUUUCUCCUCUUCCGCCAUGAAAUAGCAACUUCUAAAAAAGGGGUGCUGCAGAUGGUGAAGUCUUAAAUUACCACGGUGAGCUUUGCCGGAGGGCGUCUCUGGUCCCCUUAGAUGGAGCCCGUCUGCAGCUGAUUCACAGAAGGUCACGUUUGCCUGUCCUGCCCUACUCCUGAGCUUACUCAUGUAGUCAGCGCGGCUGACAGGGAUGAAAGAGCGGAACUGCUUGAACACAUUUGAUAUGGCUCUAGACAGGCAGACUGAUUUGCAAACUCAAAGCACAGGAGAGACUGAGAGCGAUUGCAGCGGAUUACUAAUUAGCUCGGAAACACAGAGGCGAGGCGUGAGGGAGGAACGUGGCUGCAGCUGAGUGGUUGCUCUACUUAGUGCAUCCCCGAGUCCAGCAAUUCCACUGAGGAGCAGCAGCAUCACAACCGCAAGCAGAGCUCCAGAUGGCAGCUAUAUGAGGAUCUAUGAAAUGAAAGGUCAAUCUGAAAAGGAACAAACAGCGAGAACAGAGCAAAAGACUGUAGCUGGGAAACAGCCAGAUGGAUCUCAACUCUACCAGCAGCCUAUAACACCACAGCAAGUGACCUCCAAGGGGUCUACUGAGCCUCAUUGAGCAAUGAAAACAUGAUGACCUUGAUCAAAUAUCUCAGCUGUGGUGAACAUCAAAUAACAGAAAUUGCAAAGGUUGACAAUUAUUUGAGGGACAAAAAGUCUGGAGAUUUUGUAUCAGUAGAAUUCUAACGGCUUCAACAGAAUGCUCUUGAUUUAAGUUGGAAUAAUUGAAAAAUUAAUCACAUCUACAUAUCACCAGAAGAAAGGAGAAAUAAACCAUCUUGGAAUUUGUAGUUCACUAUAAUCUGAAGUAGAGAAGUCCUUGGAGAAAUCCAGUCUAAAACAAUGCCAAACCUCAGCACCGUAUUAGGAAACAAAUAUCUUUACGCUACAGACCAGUUGUUAUUCCAGAGUUGCUUCCUGGCUGAAGCACAACAUGCUUUGUUACUCCAUGCUCACCUGUGUGUAUACAACAGGUUUGGCUACAGAUGAAUGCAUAUAAAGAGUUGGAAGAGAUCACGUUCAGUGCUUUGUCCUUCGUUCUGGUGAGGUGCACUUCUGUUUCCCUACUGAGAGCUCCUAGGCACAUGGAAGCUGUAAGGCCAACCACCUAACCAUAGGAGGGAUGGGAUCGCUGGCAAACAACACAUCCUGCUUCACCUCAAGCACCCUCCACUCUCCAGAAGGUACUUUCCUGCACAUGGCUGAGGAGCUGCUGGAAGACUGAAGGGGCACUCUCUUCAGCUGUGGGGCUGCCCCACCCCCAGUGCUGCUCUUCUGGCACCCAGCUCCUCCCAUGCUCCUUGUGCAGCUGGUGGCCCAGGAAGGAGCCAGCAUUGCCUCAAAUGGAACAGAGAGCAUCAGGCUGUUUUCUCUUUAAAAGAAGAACAAAAAAAAAAAACAAAAAAAAAACCAAAAACUAGGCUUUCCCCUUUGUUUCUGCCUUCCUGACUCCCUGGUUCAUGUCCUUCAUUAAGGCGUCUUUCUCAGUCAAGUUCUGCAAGGGCCUUCUAGCAAAAAAGAAAUUGUCAAAUCUGGAAGAAGACCAGAGGGUAAAAUUAUGGAUUUAAACCUCCAUUUCUGUCUUUACUAACACGCCAGGUACAGAUCUUCACACUCCUGUGGUCCAUGCUCCAUACAGAUUCAGUUGCUCUGUGUUACAUGACGGUAUAAAUUCACCAUGUCUCACUGGAGCCCAGGGCCUGUUUUUCCUGCACUGCAACAGUGUGAUUUCAUUGAUGUUAGUGCUGCUGCAGGGCCGGUAGGAGCUCUGCUGGUUCAGGUACCACAUGUGAACAAGGGUUUCUCUCUGAUCUGAAUCAAACACAGCCCAUGAUUAGCACCACUGACAGCAGCCAGAUUAUAUAUGCACAACGACACCCCAGUCAGUCACUCCAAUCUACACUCUGCAUAUUACAAAAUCGCUCCAUCAGUGGCAUUUCAGUAAUGUGUUAUUAAAAAACAUUCUGCAGUAUAUAAAGCAGAAAUGAAAACAGAGGAUGAUGCACAGGGGAAGGAAAAGAUUUACACCAACUGAAUAUUAUCAUUGAUAAUCCUGGUCCUAGAAAAUGAUGGAAAGAUCUCUUUCUUUUGCAGAGCUUUAAGCCCUCCGUCUUACCCCUCCUUUGUCAACAGCUCUAAAAAAGUGCAUGAAUACCCAGAAGUAGGUCAUGAUUGCUAAUAUCCAAGGAUACCAUGUUUCUGUGGUUACCUUAGCGCUCUCUUUUCUUCCCUCCUCCCUCCUCCCUCCGAGCAAAGCUCAGCCCCCAUUCUGCUGCUCCACACCAAUGCCGCAUCACCAGCUGCAAAGCCACUGCUCCUGAUUUACACCUGCACUGCACAGGGUCUGCACCACAGCUCCGGGCUCACAUCUGAAACAGCGGUGCCCAUGCAGAGAUGUGGGAGCUGCAGGGUGCUGGGACUGAGUACCGCACUGUGUCACUCAGGCUGUCCAUCCCCUGUCAGACUGCAUCAGCACCUUCUCCAGCUGACGGACAGGAUGCAGCGGCAGAGACCAACCCUCCCAAACCCACAGCCCAGCCACGUCUGACAGGGCUCACGGAAUCGUAGAAGUUACUGAGAUAGACAGCUUAGCAGCUGUGGUUCAUUUUCAGCAGUCCUACAGAGCACAGUGACUGUUAAGCACUCUGACUCUAAAUUUGGGACAUAUUUGCCCUUAUUUUUUGUUGACACCAAUGUUUGUGCCCACCAGCUCUCGUUAUACUACUCAGAGAGUGCCCAGAGAACUGGGAAACAUACCGGUCAAAACAACAGUGUUUGCAGUACUGGGAGCAGAGUUCCUGCUGGUACAUACCAACAUAUUUUAGGACCAUGAGAUAAG